rnacentral:rRNA from 1 species
AUUGAACGCUGGCGGCGUGCCUAAUACAUGCAAGUCGAGCGAAGCGGGGACGGGUGAGUAACACGUGGAAAACCUCAUAUAAGACUGGGUUAACUUCGGGAAACCGGAACAAAACCGGCUACUUAUAGAUGGAUCCGCGCUGCAUUAGCUAGUUGGUAAGGUAACGGCUUACCAAGGCAACGAGGCAUAGCCGACCUGAGAGGGUGAUCGGCCACACUGGAACUGAGACACGGUCCAGACUCCUACGUGAGGCAGCAGUAGGGAAUCUUCCGCAAUGGGGGAAAGCCUGACGGAGCAACGCCGCGUGAGUGAUGAAGGUCUUCGGAUCGUAAAACUCUGUUAGUAGGGAAGCGGUACCUAAUCAGAAAGCCACGGCUAACUACGUGCCAGCAGCCGCGGUAAUUC